rnacentral:rRNA from 1 species
AAUCUGGCACCUUCGGUGUCCGAGUUGUAAUUUGAAGAAGGUAUCUUUGGUUUUGGCUCUUGUCUAUGUUCCUUGGAACAGGACGUCACAGAGGGUGAGAAUCCCGUGCGAUGAGAUGCCCAAUUCCAUGUAAAGUUCCUUCGACGAGUCGAGUUGUUUGGGAAUGCAGCUCUAAGUGGGUGGUAAAUUCCAUCUAAAGCUAAAUAUUGGCGAGAGACCGAUAGCGAACAAGUACUGUGAAGGAAAGAUGAAAAGAACUUUGAAAAGAGAGUGAAAAAGUACGUGAAAUUGUUGAAAGGGAAGGGCUUGAGAUUAGACUUGGAAUUUUCCAUUUAUGGAGCUUUCCGGGCCAGCAUCAGUUUGGAUGGCAGGAUAAUUGCGUUGGAAAGUAGCACCACUUCGGUGGUGUGUUAUAGACUUCGUCGAUACUGCCUAUCUAGACUGAGGACCGCGUCUUUGACUAGGAUGC